rnacentral:rRNA from 1 species
AUGAACGCUAGCUACAGGCUUAACACAUGCCAGUCGAGGGGAAACGGCAUCGACAGCUUGCUUUUGAUGGGCGUCGACCGGCGCACGGGUGAGUAACGCGUAUCCAACCUGCCCAUCACUUGGGAAUAACCUUGCGAAAGUAAGACUAAUGCCCAAUGACAUCCCACGAAGGCAUCCGAAUGGGAUUAAAGAUUUAUCGGUGAUGGAUGGGGAUGCGUCUGAUUAGCUUGUUGGCGGGGUGACGGCCCACCAAGGCAACGAUCAGUAGGGGUUCUGAGAGGAAGGUCCCCCACAUUGGAACUGAGACACGGUCCAAACUCCUACGGGAGGCAGCAGUGAGGAAUAUUGGUCAAGGGGCGAGAGCCUGAACCAGCCAAGUAGCGUGCAGGAUGACGGCCCUAUGGGUUGUAAACUGCUUUUAUAAGGGAAUAAAGUGGGUCACGUGUGACUUUUUGCAUGUACCUUAUGAAUAAGGACCGGCUAAUUCCGUG